ACUAUUCUAUGAUUGUUGUGAAGUUUCCUUUUUUUUUUUUUUUUUAGGUCUAUUUAGGGAGAAAAACUAAGUAUUUAUUAUCAUGGAAGAGUUUAAACCAAACAUCCUCUGGUAAAUGUUCGUGUUCCUCAUCUGCUUCUCUAAUGGUUAGCUGUUGUUCUCUUUUCCAUUUGGAUUGCUUUUUAUUCCAUUUGUUUCUUGCUUGCAAGAAAGUUAUGCCUUGGAAUAUGAUUUUGAAUGUUGCUAUUUAAUACACACCAGUAACAUUACAAAAUUCUGGAAGACAUCUUUGUGUAAUAUUCUUUCUAGCAUAAUAGGAUUCUGAUGUCUGAUAAUUUCAGGAGUCAUUCAAAAUGCAGACCAGGUGUGGCUUUGGUUAUCUAGUGCACAUAUACCAGACUUAGUACAGCUUGUUCUUUUGAUUAUGUUACAUUUCUGAUUCAAAAUUAGCAUUUGGGAGUGAAAGCCCAGUGCAUUGCACUGUAUUGUAUUUGACCAGAAUUAUCAGAUAUUUUCCAAACUCAGAAUUGAAUUAGUGGAUGACUAUAUGAAAAUCUUUCUUGGUCAUUAAUCUUGUAAAAAUAAAUAAAUAAAUAAAAAAUCCUUCCUUGAACAUCUUUCGUAGUUAUAGAGUAUUCCAGUAGGCUAGGCAAAAAAGUAGUGCUCAGCUCAAACUGACAGGGUAUAUGCACAGUCUAUCUGUCUUAGACCACAGAAGAAGGGGUCUAAGAUGGUCUGCUGAAUUCCCGGUAUCUACGCAAAUGGAAUGGUGGUCUCCACUGAAAAAUGAAGAAGCUGUCUACACUCAGAGGGGAGACAAUUUCUAUGGAAGUGAGGCUUUCCAGGUCAGGAUGUGGCUGUAGGGUGCGCCUGCCAUGUAUUGUCACUCGUGCUGAGAUCCAGAAGUACCCUGCAGGAGAGUUUGUGCAGAGCUGCAUUUCCUUGGAAAGAAAAUUGUAUAAAGUCAUCUUUAUGCUGAAAAGAAGGGAAGUGUGCGAGAAAAAUCUUGAUCAAGUUGAAGCACACAGAGAUGCUGUCUCUCCUCUCUGCACAGUGCUGCAUUGCCUAUAAGCAUCUGCAUGGCAUAUUGGUUUUCAGUACUGCUUCUGCUAAGUAUGAUGUGCAUGUGUGCUCACAGUCAUUCUGUCUUGAAUCUUUGGGAAAUCAUAAGGCUUCCUCAGAUGAGUGGCUGGCUGUGGUUCAAUAGUUUCAUUCCUUAUUCUCUUGGCUGGUAACUGCAAUCUGGGGAGCAAAUGCUAUGCCGGUUGGUGGUCUGAAAGUUGACUGAUGAUGGCAAUAUUCCUUUUAAAGCCAACAUCUAUGCCUCCCAUGGUUAUAUCAGUUUGUGAAUGUCUUUACCUGCUGCAAGAAGCAGUUCUGUUGGGAAAACCUCUUUUGUCUGAUAUUUCAGCAACAUCUGAACUCUUCAUUCAGCUACUGAUAAACCCUUUGAAUUAUGCAUGAGAGUGAUUUGUACCAUUGUGUGUUUUCUCAGGUAAUUUCAGGUCUAGAUUAGGACAGCAGACCUCAGAUGGACAUAUCACAAGACUUAUUAAGAUCACAAGUCUACUUCUCUGUGGGAAGAAAGCGUAUGAGUAGGCUAUACAAAUGACCCACGAAGUGCCUAGCCUUGUGUUAAUGAUGUUACAGAGGCCAACCACAUACAAAGGUAUGUGUUUGUGCCUGCUCACAAACAGGAAAGGGCUGGUGGCAGUUGGGGUCGCAGAUGAUGGCAGGGGCUCGAGUGCCCACAGAUAAAUCAAUUCUAGAUCCAGAAGAAAGGUGAGAGAGAAAACAGCAAAAUAACUUCUAGGUUUUGGCAUAUGGAAAGCAGAAUUCAGCUUGUUUAGGGAAUUGCUAGGCAGAAUCACCUGAGAAGCUGAGAAUAUAUUGUAUGUAUUCAUUAGUUUAUAUCAACUAAGUUAACUCAUAGGGUGACAGAUUGAAAAUACAGUGAAAGUGCUGAGAUAGCAGUGACAAUGUGGUCCCAAGGUGAUCUUUACAUUUUAUUUCUCUCAAUGCUAUUAUAAGUCAAUAAAAAGUUAUGGUUAGGAAGACCAGUAACAACAGAAUAGAAAGUACUAUUUAUUGUCUGAGCUUGAAAUGAGAAAAAAAGGUCAGGAGAGGCAAGCACUGCAAUAUCUUACAGUCUGUUUCCUAUAAAAACGGAACAGCAUGUCAGCUGAGCAGAAUUCUUUUCCUUCUCAAUUAGCUCUGUUUUCAGAAUUGGUGUCUUAUGGUCUUGUCUCUUAUUUUGUUGAUGGUGGUCCAAAAUCAUAGUGACUUCUGCCUCUAAAUGCAUAUGCUGAGGUUCCUGGGUUACCUACUGUGCUCAAAAGUUGAUUCAUACUUGUUCGCAGCCAGACUGUGGUAGAUACUUAGUGUCAUUGUUAUGAAUGACUCUGCUAUUAAGAAAUCAGGAUGUCUCAUCUCCGUUUCCAGUGAAGUAUUGGUUCUAGAAGAGAAUGGAAAGAAGAAUCUGAUUUCUGCUAGUUCAGCUUGAGGCUGUUCCCUGUGGAACUUGAAAAUACCUUAUUUAUGAGAGCUGAUUGUUCUCAUGAAAGGCCUGAAAGAGCAAAUCACAGAAAGAGAGCCUGUUAUUGCAGUCAUUUUCUUUCCUUGUCAUUAUUACAGAAUUUCUGUUGAUGUUCUUUUUUGAAUUCCCGAGUGAUGGAUGGUUGUGAGGAAUUACUAAAAAGAAGUAUUUUGUUGUCUCACAGUCUGGGAUUUUCAUCAACAAAAAAACCCACAUUUAAGUGUAAGAACACUUAAAAAGUGCCACUCAUGAGUCAGAGGUCAAACCUUUAUUUUUUUGCCCUUUUGCAGUAGGUGAAAGGAGCAUUAGGGUGCUUCUGCUGUUGCUGGGGACAAUUUUUUUAGCAUCUUUGAACUGAACAGGUUCUGAGAGCUCAACAAAAAUAAGUACCUGUUCAACUUGCAUUUCUGUUGUCACUAUGUCCAGCUUAAGGAGUAAGGGAUGUUGUUAGUCUCAAUAGCUCAAGUUAGCAUCACCUUGCCUUAUGUUGCAAAAUGCAGUAAUAGGGUCACUGGCCUGGGGAAACCCAGCUACCAGUCCCUGUUUUCACAUGUAAAUUAAUUUGAGAGAAUACCAGGAUAUCUGUAGCUUCCUCUAUAGCAUAUCUCAGGCUAAGUAUCCCUCAAGCCACACUGUGUGUUUUGUCCCAUAUGCACCAGCUUUCAGCUUUUCUUUACUCCUGAAUGAAAAUUUUACUCUGGGAAUAAAUUUCCCAUUGACAGCUUAGCUACUAUGGUGGGUAGCAACAUCUCAUCCUUGCAGCCCCCUGCAAGCAGCUCUAAAUGUAGUGACUUUUGUUUUCUGUGACAGCACUCAAGGAAUUAGAGCUCACCUCUGUGUUGUGGGUUGAGCUCUCCUUUUAAUGAACAUGCUUGAUGUACUGGUAAAACAAGGCAGAAUAUUAAGUGGAUUGUGAACAUCAAACUGCUAUGCUUUUAAAAGAGCUGCAGGUUUAAGGCCUCUAGUUCAAGUAAGCCUCUUCAUGAAAAUGCCAACAAAAGAUGCCCCAAGAUACAAUUUGUUUUGUGCCCUAACGAGAAUGGUUCUUGCCAACAUGUGGUCAGUGAGAGUGGGAAUUUGCAGUAGUGGAAAGGAAGCAGCUGAUUCCCCACAUGUCCAGCUGUGCUUUUUUUUUUGCAGAGCUCCGUUAGUAAUGAAAAAAGCGUGGCACAGUUUUGAAGAGAAGAGUCCAUUUUUGUGGUCAAGAACUGUCUACUGUUUUGGGAGCCAUAGUGUCUUCUGAUUAUUCUUGUUUUUGAGUACCUGUCUUUCAGGAUGAUUUUCGUAUUAAUCACGUGCUUAUAAAGGAGCAAACCAGGUAAUCUGCUGUGGAGUGAGGCCAUAUGAUUUUCCUCAUCUGUAAUCACAGGCCUAAUUCCAUCUAAGCUUGUUCCUACCUGUCCUGUCCACUGUGCAUGAAGACUGUUCCUUUUCUCUUUGCAACCGGUUUUACAUCCCUGAAGGCUGGAAGGAUGAGUGCCUCAGAAAUAGAACCAAAAAAGACUAGUGCUUCACUGCUAACAAGAAAGUGGAGAUGACUCACUGCUACUAAACGU